AUAAGAACAAGAUAUAGCACAACCCAUGGGCAUGCACAUAUCAUAAUAGAAGCAACCGUUCGCGAAACACCCCAACAAGUGAAAACAAUCCGGAUGAACCGGCAACAAACGAAAGGCCGAUUCAAUAUCCGAUUUUGCCAAUAAAGCCCCACGACCGGCCCGCCGCAGGAGGAGCAAGGCCGAGUCGAAGGACGCAUAACGCACCCUGCACGCAUCCCUGUCGAUGUCAUCGUUGACCGAUGCCCCCGAAGGGUACGAGAGAUGGUGAAUCAACCGAAAAGUUCCCGGGUCUUUUUUGGGUACCAGACCCAACGGAGACACCCUCAGGUUGUGGAAUGGGGGGAAUCAAAGGGACCGGCCAUGCGGCCCAGUUGAAUCUCCGCCUCCAGCUUUUCCUGCAAUAAACCCUCCCUACCCCGCGUGGACCGAAGAUUCCCAGCAAACCGG